rnacentral:rRNA from 1 species
GACGGGUGAGUAAUGCCUAGGAAUCUGCCUGGUAGUGGGGGACAACGUUUCGAAAGGAACGCUAAUACCGCAUACGUCCUACGGGAGAAAGCAGGGGACCUUCGGGCCUUGCGCUAUCAGAUGAGCCUAGGUCGGAUUAGCUAGUUGGUGAGGUAAUGGCUCACCAAGGCUACGAUCCGUAACUGGUCUGAGAGGAUGAUCAGUCACACUGGAACUGAGACACGGUCCAGACUCCUACGGGAGGCAGCAGUGGGGAAUAUUGGACAAUGGGCGAAAGCCUGAUCCAGCCAUGCCGCGUGUGUGAAGAAGGUCUUCGGAUUGUAAAGCACUUUAAGUUGGGAGGAAGGGUUGUAGAUUAAUACUCUGCAAUUUUGACGUUACCGACAGAAUAAGCACCGGCUAACUCUGUGCCAGCAGCCGCGGUAAUACAGAGGGUGCAAGCGUUAAUCGGAAUUACUGGGCGUAAAGCGCGCGUAGGUGGUUCGUUAAGUUGGAUGUGAAAUCCCCGGGCUCAACCUGGGAACUGCAUCCAAAACUGGCGAGCUAGAGUAUGGUAGAGGGUGGUGGAAUUUCCUGUGUAGCGGUGAAAUGCGUAGAUAUAGGAAGGAACACCAGUGGCGAAGGCGACCACCUGGACUGAUACUGACACUGAGGUGCGAAAGCGUGGGGAGCAAACA